AGAGGUUUCAGGAGCCUGGGUUGAUGUAUAUUCUCCUCCUUGAUAUAAAAAGACGAUGUUUCUCCCUGUGGGCUUCAGCCUUUUGCUUUUCUACAAGGGCGUGCUGUGUAACCAAGUGACCCAGAGCUCCCCGGAGCAGAGAGUGGCGAGUGGCCGAGAGGUGACACUGCAGUGCACCUUCCAAACCACGUAUUCAAAUCCAGACUUAUACUGGUACCGAAAGAGGCCAGAUGCUGUCUUCCAGUUUGUCCUGUACAGGGACAACACUAGAUCCCAUGAUGCGGAUUUUGCUCGGGGUAGAUUUACUGUGCAGCAUAGCGUGAGAAGCAAAACCUUCCACUUGGUGAUCUCCUCUGUGAGGCCUGAAGACACUGCCACUUACUACUGUGCUUUGGAGCUCCCACGGUGAUGCAGGCGCCCAGGAAGUCUGCACACAAACCCCUGGGCACAGCCUGGCAGAGCUGCUUCUCUGGGCAGCUCAUGUCCUUGAACAUGGCAUCCAUCUUCCCCAUCAUUCUGUGGUCCAGUCUGGCCUUGGGAGGUGCCCUAACGUGUCUGCUAAAUAUGAAAAGCCUGGUCACUUGCAGGGGAGCACCCCUACUUCCAAUGGAGGAGAUGUCGCUCCACUUCAUAGAGGGCCGUUGCUGCCCUGGUGCCUGUGGUGGGGAAGGGAGACUGCCUGUCUGAGGGACCCUGGUGCCUGCGUUGUGCCUGAUACAGAGAAGGGCUUGAUAGGGAUGUGCUGUGUGCCCUGGGCAGAUAGCCAGAUGGGGUGGGUGGGGGGCCAGUCUAAA